CUGGUCGUGGGUCACCAACAACCUCUACUUCCUGUCCUUGCUCAGUUGACCUCUUAGCACUUUGAACACAGUCGAGCCUGACCUGUGCAGCCCGGUGCCCUCUUUCCCUCAAUGACUCACGCAUCCCCCGGCUUGAAGCAUCAUCUAUGUGCUAAAGCUCUGCAAAUACAUGUUUCUGAGCUCCAGACUCAUAUAUAUAAGCAGCUGCCUCAGUGUAUCCACCAGCAUGUCAGGUAUCAGAAACUCUUUAUCUCCAAAACACCUUUUGUGGGCCAAACUCGCUCCUCCCCAAGCCUGCCCGCUCCCCUCCAACCACACCACCAGGCGCUCAGCAGGAACCCAACUCUCCUGCAGCCCCCGCUUCCCCCUCACUGCUCCCACUGCAACCCUCCGAUCCAUCAGUGAGUCCUGAUAAUUUCAUACUGGUUUCUCCAUCAGUCUUCCUAAGUUCUACUGUCACACCCAUCCCCCAUCAUUACGUCUCACCUGGACUAACAAAAUAGCCUCCCCAGAUGAUCUGUUCUCUACUCUUGACCUCAAUUAAUCUUGUUGUCAUUUUCUGCUUAAAACCUUUCCAUUGGUUUUCACUGCACUUGGAAGUCAAAUCCAAACUUCUUGUAUGGCCCUGCAUAUCUGGUCCCUUCUACCUCUCAGUUUUGUCUCCAACAACUCUCCCUCACUUGCCAGCUUCCGACCACAUCAGCUACUUGAGCAAACCUGGCCCUUUCCUGCAGCCACAGCUCAUGCUCUUCCCUCUGGCAGAACUGUUCCCUCACAUCCUCACCUCCCCAAGGCUGGCUCCUUUCCCCCUUUUGUGCCUGGCUUACAAGUCCCUUCCUCCCCUCCAGGUAUUCUCAGUCCUAGCCCUUGUUCCGUCCUUCCUGCAGGCGUGUAUCUCUCGCCUCACUCUGACCUGUGCAUCCCUCCAUUUCCCCAGAAGAGUGUCCUGCAUCUAAGACGAGCUCAGACCUAUGCAGGACAGAUGAGGAGGGAGCAGGCAGUGACAGCGGGAUGGAUGUGGGAGGGAAGAGGAGGGCCUAAGAUGGAGGAACCAGCCACCUCCUGUCUCUCUCCACGGGAACCUGACCUGGGGAAAGGUGGAAGGAUACAGGAGGUACUGGAGUCUAGGUCUCAACCAGGGCUUCCUGGGAUGACCCCCAAGCCCCAACCCCCAGGACAGAUACACACCACCAGGCCAGCAGUGAGGAACCUGACCUGGGGAGAGGAAGAAGGAUGGAGGAGGUACUGGAAUCUGGGCCACAAGCAGGGGUUCCUGGAGUGAGCCCCAUCCCCCCACCCCAGGACAGACAGACAACACCCAGGCCGGCAGUGGUUUUUCCUCUCUUCCUUGGUUCCCCCAGCCCAAGCUUGCCGGGCAAGAAGCCUUCUCCAGGGCUGCGACUUCAUUUCCCCACAUCAUCUGAAAGUAUCCUGAGGGCAAGAGCUGCAACUGACUCAUCUCUGUAUGCCCAGCAGCUUGCCCUGCCCAGAGGAGGGACCCAGGAAAUGCUAGAUGACUGACUGUAACUUCCUCUCCCAGAGUUCCUCUGGGUCUCUCCUCCUCUCCCCAGUUAGCAGUUUAGAACCACGAGGCCAAAGCAGUACCAGGCUCACAAUUCCCCAGGGCACGGCUCUGGUAGCCUCAUCCCAAAUGCACUUCCUCCUUUGAAAAUGUUCUCACAGCCCCAGUCACAAACACUUGGCACAGGGAGUCCCCACGCCCAAGCUGCUAUCUGAGGAGUCCUGCCUGCUUUGCAAGGAGGAUGUCUGCUCCCCAGCCUCAGAACACCCCUACUCUCAAACCUAACCCCACUAGAUCCGUGCUACCCCUAAAAGACAAGGCAAGGGGUAACUCCCAGUCUCCAACCAAGUCAACUACUCAGCUCAAAUAAUCCAGAGGUCAGUUCUGGGAUAGAUCUUUCUAGCACCCAAGCUCCCCCAAAUGGGGAUCUCUCUAUCAGUCUGUAGCUCUUGCCUGGACGCCCCUCCCCGCAGGACACCUACAGCAGAGGCGGCAAACUGGCUGCCUGAGGGCCAAAUGCAAUUCACAGAUGUAUUUUCUUCGGCCCUGCAAUAUUCUAAAACGCGAUGAAUUAACCUCAACAUUCAAAACUAGAGAGCUUAUUUAAA